UACGUAGGGGGCGAGCGUUGUCCGAAGUUACUGGGCGUAAAGCGCGCGUAGGCGGGCUAUUAAGUGAGAGGUGAAAGGCUGGGGCUCAACUCCAGCAGUGCCUCUCAUACUGGCAGUCUUGAGGGCGGUAGAGAGAAGUGGAAUGGCUGGUGUAGCGGUGAAAUGCGUAGAUAUUGGGAAGAACACCGGUGGCGAAGGCGGCUAUCUGGACCGUAACUGACGCUGAGACGCGAAAGCGUGGGGAGCGAACCGG
rnacentral:rRNA from 1 species